GAUAGCGUCCAUACCACACUGAAAACACCGGUUCUCGUCCGAUCACCGCAGUUAAGCAGUGUCGGGCCCAGUUAGUACUUGGAUGGGUGACCGCCUGGGAAUACUGGGUGUCGCUACCU
rnacentral:rRNA from 12 species